rnacentral:rRNA from 1 species
UCAGAUUUUCCGGUUGAUCCUGCCGGAGGCUACCGCUAUUGGAGUUCGAUUAAGCCAUGCGAGUCGCGAGUCUUAGGGACUCGGCGUACCGCUCAGUAACACGUGGGUAACCUGCCCUAUGCUGGGGGAUAACCUCGGGAAACUGAGAAUAAUACCCCAUAGUUCACCACGCCUGGAACGGUGGGUGGACCAAAGCUCCGGCGGCAUAGGAUGGGCCUGCGGCGUAUCAGGUUGUAGGGGGUGUAAUGUACCCUCUAGCCCUCUACGCGUACGGGUGUUGAGAGACAUCGCCCGGAGAUGGAUUCUGAGACACGAAUCCAGACCCUACGGGGUGCAGCAGGCGCGAAAACUUGGCAAUGCGAGAAAUCGUGACCAGGGAACUCCAAGUGCAUCGGGUAAGACCGAUGCUUUUCUUGACUCUUCAAAGGUCUUGGAAUAAGGGGUGGGUAAGGACGGUGCCAGCCGCCGCGGUAAUACCGGCGCCCCAAGUGGUAGUCGCUUUUAUUGGGCCUAAAACGUCCGUAGCCGGUCUGGUACAUUCGUGGGUAAAUCAACCAGCUCAACUGGUUGAAUUCUGCGAGCACGGCCAGACUUGGGACCGGGAGAGGUGUGGGGUACUCUCAGGGUAGGGGUAAAAUCCUGUCAUCCUGAGAGGACCACCUGUUGCGAAGGCGCCACACUAGAACGGAUCCGACGGUCAGGGACGAAGCCUAGGGGCACGAACCGGAUUAGAUACCCGGGUAGUCCUAGGUGUAAACGCUGUGGACUUGAUGUUGGGGGCGCUCCGAGCGCACUCAGUGUCGAAGCGAAGGUGAUAAGUCCACUGCCUGGGGAGUACGGUCGCAAGGCUGAAACUUAAAGGAAUUGGCGGGGGAGCACCGCAACCUGAGGAUUGUGCGGUUUAAUUGGAUCAACGCCGGG